CCGUGCAAGAAACAGUUAAAACAAGAUGAACAUGAAUGAAUCAGAACCACAAAAUGUGAACAUGUCUAGUAGCAUUAGGUCUAAGUCUUACACUGCAUGGAACAAAAAUGCUUGAGAUAAUUACAGGAACACAGCACUCAUCAUUUGAUAAGAAUGCAUCUUGCUGGAGAUCCCUCAGCACCAACCAACCUCAAAGGUAAGCAAUUCACAUAAUAUAUUCCUGCUUCGAUACCAUCAAGUUUUAGGGCUUCUGCGAUUAUGAUUUCCUUGCUUUCCAGAAAGACAAGAUGAGUUGAAACCAUCUCACUCCAAGCACCAACAGAUAAGUAAUCAAUGCCAACAAGCUUGAUGUCAGUGUUCUGUACCAACCAUUUUGCACCAUCCUCUGUGAAUCCCACAAAGCUUGCGUCAAACUUACUUUUGAACAUAAGCCUCCUGUCGGUGUUGAGUGUUCUGAAAAGCACUCGAGUUACUCCCUUGGGAAUAUUUAAGGACUUCAUAACUUCAGCAGUUAUGUUUGAAUCUCUUGGCACAUCAAUCAGUAGCCCAGGACCAUUAAGCACUUCAAGGUCUAGAGUGUCGACGUCGAACCCAGCAUCGAAGUAGUGAUCAAAAAAGUGUCCCGGAGCAUCGACGUGUGUGCCGGUGUGGACGGAGAACUUCAUCUCCGAGAUGUUUGCGAAGGACCCAUUCUUCAUGCUGGCGGCGAGCUGAAGGAAUUGUCCCAGCCCAUUAUCGGACCUAUAAGCCGGCAAAUUGCUUGUGUAUCUGUGGCUAAUGUCGAAGAUUCUUCCAUCGCCAUAUAAUUCUCGGCGGAUUGGUGUUAAGUUGUCGUUUAGGGAAGCGGACGCAGAGGUGUCAGCGGUUCCAGGGACGGUGGGGUAAGCUGCAGUGGAAGCUGUGGUAGAGAUGGGAGAGAGAAGCAACAGCAGGAGAAAAGAGAUCAUGGUUUUGGUUUCGGUUUCAGUUGUGGCCAUGGUGAAUAUAUGCAGAGUUGCAGAGAGAAUUUUGGCACUUUCUAUACUCUCAAAUUUUCAGUUUUGAAGAGAAACGGACUGAACAAUUACAGUUGGGGAGCAUUUGCAAUUUGUUUCUG
rnacentral:misc_RNA from 1 species